rnacentral:rRNA from 1 species
UACGUAGGGGGCUAGCGUUGUCCGGAUUUAUUGGGCGUAAAGAGCGUGUAGGCGGCCAGGUAGGUCUGCUGUGAAAACUCGAGGCUCAACCUCGAGACGUCGGCGGAAACCAUCUGGCUAGAGUCCGGAAGAGGAGAGUGGAAUUCCUGGUGUAGCGGUGAAAUGCGCAGAUAUCAGGAGGAACACCUGUGGUGUAGACAGCUUACUGGACGAUAACUGACGCUGAGGCACGAAAGCGUGGGUAGCAAACAGG